UCACCCCAGCUGUUGCUCCUGGACUGGCAGGGGCCGAAGUCACGCCGAUGUUUCUCUCUUAGUGAACCCAAGCCGGGGUGGGUCUGCCUGGGCCCUGCUUGCCCACGUUUCAGGGGUCACGGGACCAAGACAACUCAGCAGCUAAUGGAGAAAGCCCUCUGAAAUAGAGGAAGAGGAAGACAAAGAUAACGACUUGGAAGAGAAGGCUGUAAGGCCCACGUGGGAUGUGGAGUGGAUCUAAC